GGAGAUUACUGCUAUUGGAGUUUGACUAAGCCAUGCGAGUCAGAGGUUUUAUUAUACUGGCAGAAGGCUGAGUAUCACGUAGUCAACCUGCCCUUGAGUCAGGCAUAUCCUCGGGAAACUGAGGUUAAUUCCUGAUAUGAAAUAUUUUCUGGAAUGAAAUAUUUUGCAAAGUUACGACGCUCAAGGAUGGGACUGCGGUGGAUUAGGUUGUUGUUGGGGUAAUGGCCCAACAAACCGAUAAUCUAUAGGGGCUGUGAGAGCAGUGGCCCCCAGAUGGAUUCUGAGGCACGAAUCCAGACCCUACGGGGUGCAGCAGGCGCGGAACCUUCACAAUGCACUAUGUGUGUGAUGGGGAGACUCCAAGUGAUAGCAUAACGCUAUCUUUUGAAAAGUUAAAACAUCUUUUCGAAUAGGUGGUGGGUAAGACGGUUGCCAGCCGCCGCGGUAAUAACCGCGCCACAAGUGGUAAUCUCGAUUAUUGGGUCUAAAGCAUCCGUAGCCGGUGCUAUAAGUUUUCUGUGAAAUCCGAAUGAAAACAUUUGGGCGUGCAGAAAAUACUGUAGCACUUGAGACUGGGAGGAGCAAGAGGUACUCGAGGGGAAGGGGUAAAAUCCGUUAAUCCCUCGGGGGUCACCAGUGGCGAAGGCGUCUUGCUAGAACAGGUCUGACGGUGAGGGAUGAAAGCCAGGGGAGCGAAGAGGAUUAGAUACCCUUGUAGUCCUGGCUGUAAACGAUGCUCGUUAGGUAUUGGGGUUUUUACGAGAAACUUCAGUGCCGUAGGGAAGCCGUUAAACGAGCCACCUGGGGAGUACGGUCGCAAGGCUGAAACUUAAAGGAAUUGGCGGGGGAGCACACAAGGGGUGACGUCUACGGUUCAAUUGGACUCAACGCCGGGAACCUUACCAGAGGUGACAGCAGUAUGAUGGUCAGCUUAAAGAGCUUACCUGACGCGCUGAGAGGUAUUGCAUGGCCGACGUCAGCUCGUGCCGUGAGGUGUGCGGUUAAGUCCGUAAACGAGCGAGACCCGCGCUCUUAAUUGCUAGCGAAAGCAUGCACUUUAAGAGGACCGCUGGCGAUAAGUCAGAGGAAGGUGCGGUCAACGUUAGGUCAGUAUGGUCCGAAUCUUCUGGGCUACACGUGGGCGGCAAUGACAGGGACAAUUGGUUGCGACACCGAAAGGUGAAGCCAAUCCCCUAAACCCUGUCUCAGUACGGAUUGAGGGCUGCAACUCGCCCUCAUGAUGGCGGAAUCCCUAGUAGUCGAGUAUUAGCACUGCUCGGCGAAUACGUCCCUGCUCCUUGCACACACCGCCCGUCAAACCACCUGAAUUGAUUUUGGAUGAGGGUCUUUCAUUGAAAGAUUCGAAUCUAAUUUCGGUAAGGGGGGUU
rnacentral:rRNA from 1 species